ensembl:lncRNA
AUGUCCAAUUUUACGGUGAAGAAGCUGCGUCUCCGGGAAGUAGCUCAGAGAUCUUCGUAUCAUAGAAUUGACUUUUGGUGCAUUGGCCAAAGCCCCUCAAAGACCACUGGAGAAGAUAACCAGAGCACCUCCUGGAGGUCGGAGCAACUGGCGGGUGCUGAAGGAUGCCUGGCCGGCUGCCCGCUGUACCUGGCUGUGCAGAGAGGGAACAGGAGAUGGAGCUCCCCUUGGCUACAGCCUCUGAGCCCAGGGCCUGGCUGUCUCCCACGGACUUCAGCUGCAGAGAAUCAGAGUGGAGGCCGAGAGGAGCCAGAGGCAGACCCAGCAGACCCCUGUGCAUCUGGAGAAACUGGGGAAGAAGAGUCUAGAUCAGAUGCCAGCUGACCUGCAAGGUAUGUGCCAGAGCUCCUCACCCAGUCUGUUCGCCUGCCUGUUCGGCAGCACUGAGACCCUCUGGGGAAAUCUGCUCUGGACAGCGGAUAAUGCUCCCUGGGGAGCUGAGAUGUUAAGUUCUGCCGAGCCUGCAGCCUCUGCAGGGGCAAAGUCAUGUUUCUGGGGCGUGAGAAAUCAUGCGUUUGGAAGAGGGCUUUUCAAGAAGGAUGGUGUGGCCGUGCAGUCCGUCCUAGGUUUGAACCCUAUAAUAAGCGAGUUAUCCUCCCUGGCAAAUGGGAUUUAUUCACUCAACCAAUAUCCAUGCAUCUGGAGACCAGGACAGUCCAAGGCCAUGAGGAUAUAAGUAAAAUGCCAAGCACAGAGCCUGAGCCUGGCAUUUAGUAUGUCCUCAAGAAAUGCAGAAGCUCCAGAUGGAUCAGGCAGGGGGUCACCACCCUAUGGUUGCCUUAUCCACGGGGAUAGAGACAUGGCUGUGUAAGAAGGGCUUUGGAGGGACUUCCCUGGCAGACCAGCGGUUAAGACUCUGCACUCCCGAUGUGAGGGGCACAGGUUCAAUCCCUGGUUAGGGAACUAAGAUCCCACGUAUCACACCACUUGGCCAAAAAAAAAGAAGAGCUUUGGAGACAGCUUGUUCUCCAGCCCUGCCACCGACACUGUCACACAACCUUGGACAAUUAUUCCAUGUGAUGGUUCCUUUUAUGUGUCAACUUGACUGGGCCACUGGGUGGCCAGACAUUUUGCCAAACGCCAUUCCAGGUGUGUCUGUGAGGGUAUUUCUGGAUGAGAUUCGCCUCGAAUCAGUAGACUGCAUUUCAGGAGAUUGCCCUCCCUGGCGCGGGUGGGCCUCUGGGUGGUCAGGCUGUUUAAGAUGGCCGUCCUCUUGCUUCCCGGCCAUCCCCUGCUUGACCAGCCUCUGCUUCACUCACAUGACUAUCCAAUCCUCUUCAUUGUAGGGCUUAGUCAGUAAUUGCCUACAUGCUUGCCCCCUGCCCCAGCCGCUGGUUUCCCUGGUAACUGACGAGCCAACCUGAUGCCAAUUCCCCAUAUAAAUGGUAGCCUCCUCCCCCGCCUAGCAAACGUUGUUCCCACAUCCUGCUUGCUGUCUGCUGUACAUGGAGGGGAUGUCGUUCCCGGACCCUUCGUUUCAGAUGCGUAAGAUCCCCUGUCAUUAAGUAUUGAUGUCUCUGUCUGCUGUCUGCUGUCUCCAGGCUCUAUCUGUGGUCUCGAAGCUGGACUUGCAGGCCUGCGGGGUGCAGUCCAAUAUUUGGCCAGCCAGGAGGCCAAGGAAACCCCCGUGAACACCCAAGAGGUCAGGAAAUAAGGAUGGGGAAUGGAAAGUUGCAGGGUGACCCCAAGGUGGCCAUCCGCUAGCACGUGCAUGGAGCCUUGUGGCAGCUGACCACCAUGGGAAGUGUCUUUUUCUUCCAUUAUAUUGAGGGUAUCCUGUUCACCUUGGAGUCUCCUUCUAGUUUAAAAGGAGCAGCCCCACGCUUUUGGCUCCUGACUGCCUGGGGAUGGCUGGUGAACGCUGACAGGGCGCAAGGACCUGGAUCAUCUAUUACAUACUUGCAUAUUUUCUGGUCCGGGAAGACAAGACUACCCCUGACCCACCACCGCUACACCAUGAGAGACACAGACUUUAGGGAUAUUAACUCAGGGAAAGGCUUGUGAAUUGGAAGUGGCCAAUUAUCCAAAAUGUGGUAAUGGCCAAAUAACAAGAGAACCCUUGGGCUUCUGGUCCGGCUAUGGAAGGACACAGAGCAGCAGUAUAAUGGGAUGGGACCACAGCUCCAUGCCGUCUACAGUGCGUUACAACAGGUGGGAGACAUCUCAAAAGGCCAACCCGAGUCAUCAAGCACCACAGAAAGACCACUACUUGGGGGGCCAUCUAGAGCAGCUGUGCACAAAAUAAGGACCCCCAUGGACGUCAACAUCGACCAAGGACCAUGAAGUCCAGGAGUGGGCUGAUAAAAAUGACAUCCGCUGGCAUCUCCACCAGCCUUACAACCUCACCGCUGCCGGGCUAACAGAUAAGAUAAACGGAGUACUUAACGAUUGAGGCAGGAAACCCGUGCUCUCAACAUGUGGGCCAGGAGGCUGACUCAAGCCCUAUGAACUGUGACUGAACAUCUCAGGAGCAUCGUCCCAGUGUCUAUGCCAUAUUAACCCAGAGGCAACUAGUCAACACAAUCUGAGUUCAACUCUUGACCACCAAAGGACCCAAAGGUUGCCAACUGUCAGGACAAUAACCCACUUUUGCCUACAGGACCUACCCGCAGAGGGACACAUUAUAAAUGGCGUAGGACUGGCAGGUAAGACCCUGCUGGUUUGGGUUUGCUGCCUAGUGGGGAAUAAGCUUAGAAAGGGACUUACAGAUCUCACCUGUUGUCUACCUGGCCCCACCUAAGACUACUUAGGUAAUUAAUCCGGCCCCUACUGGAGAAAGGCACCAUUAUACCUCCCCUCCAGUAUUCGGCACCAGCUCUGGGGAUUGCCAGUGGACAGGUGACGCGACACUGCAGGCCAGUACAGAAAUCGCAGGCGGGGGCGGUAUGAUCUCAGAGCGCUGUUACUGCUGUAUUCUGCCUAAAGGUCAUGACCUCCCCUGUAUCGUGCCUGUUAAACAUGUUACAUUUCCUCCGAGUCUGAGUGGAGGGAGUCUGCUCUCGGGGGUCGGGGCCGUGGCGGUCUCACUAUGAAAUGAAUCUGACUGCUGUGUCUGCAGCGAGAUGCUGUCGUUAUCCUCUGGAUGUGCAUGAAAAAUUGACCCGAUAAACACCUGGCUCCAAAGUUUACCCACCUCUGGGCGAAUUUUACUCUCUUUAGCAUACUAGGUAUAUUUACUCUUUUUUUUUUUAAAUAAAUUUAUUUUUGCGCUGGGUCUUCAUUGCUGCGCACGGGCUUUUCUCUAGUUGCGGUGAGCGGGGGUAUGCUUCAUUGCGGUGCACGUGCUUCUCACUGCGGUGGCUUCUCUUGUUGAGGAGCACGGGCUUUGGUACACAGGCUUUAGUAGUUGUGGCUCGCAGGCUCUAGGCUUGCGGGCUUCAGUAGUUGUGACAUGUGGGCUCAGUAGUUGCGGCUUGCAGGCUCUAGGCACGUGGGCUUCAGUAGUUGUGGCAUGUGGGCUCAGUAGUUGUAGCUCACGGGCCCUAGAGCGCAGGCUCAGUAGUUGUGGCGCACGGGCUUUGUUGCUGCGCGGCAUGUGGGAUCUUCCUGGACCAGGGCUCGAACCCAUGUCCCCUGCAUUGGCAGGUGGGUUCUUAACCACUGCGCCACCAGGGAAGUCCCGGUACCUUUACUCUUGAUGCUCGUUAGCUGCUGUUACUUGUUAUCGCAUGUGUGAUGUUCGGUUGCAGUGCACCUCUAUCUACCUGACCUCAGGGCAGCCGUGGAAGAGAGGUGGACCUAGACUGUACGGGUCGUGCAGGGUGUGUGGAGGUGGAGUGUGAGGUCAGGCCACUCAGGAUGGCUGUUCUCUUGCCCUCUGUGCACUCCCUGCAUGUCUAGCCCCGGGUCCACUCACAUGAUAGGUGUGAUGAGUAGCUGCCUGCGUGCUUGCCCCCUGCCCCAGCCACUGGUUUCCCUCAUAACUGAUAAGCCAACCUGGCAUCAAGUCCCCCUUUAAAUGGUAGCCUCCUUCUCCCCUGAGAAGUGAAGUUUGCUGCCAUGUUGUGUCUGCCGUACACAGUAAGGUGUUGGUCCAGCACCUUGUGCUUCAGACGUGUAAGAUUCCCUGUCCAAUAACGGCUGGCGUCUCUGGGCUCUUUCUUUGGUCUUGAGGCUGGACAGCUACAAAGCUUGCAGGCCUGGGGGGUGCAGCCCAACAGCAGCCUCCUUCAAUCCAUUGAACACCUGGAUAGAAUAAAAGGCUGAGGAAGAGGGAUCUUCUCUUGCCGAACGGUUAGAGGAGAGAUACUGGUCUCUUCCAGCCUUCAAACUUGGAUUGAAAUACUGGCUCCUGGGUCUCAAGUGUCAACAGUUUUGUGGCUGGUUACGUGUCACUGGCUAAUCCUGGUUCUGAGACUUUCGGACUCACACAGGGACUAUACGUUUGUUCUCCUGGGUUUCCAGCUUGCCAACUGCACAUCUUGACUUUCCAGCCUCUGUAAUUGUGUGAGUCAAUUCCAUAUGAUAUCUGUAUCUCCUGUUGCUGGGGGAGGGAGGGAUGGGGAGUUUGGGAUUAGUAGAUGCAAACUAUUAUAUAGAGAAUGGAUAAACAGCAAGGUCCUACUGUAGAGCACAGGGAAAACUAUAUUCAGUAUCCUGUGAGAAACCGUAGUGAAAAAGAACAUGGAAGAGAAUGUAUAUGUAUAACUGAGUCACUUUAUACAGUAGAAAUUAACACAACAUUGUAAAUCAAUUAAACUUCAAUAACUUUUUUGUAAAAAAGAAUACACGGCUUCCCUGGUGGCGCAGUGGUUGAGAGUCCGCCUGCCGAUGCAGGGGACAUGGGUUCGUGCCCCGGUCCGGGAAGACCCCACAUGCCACGGAGUGGCUGGGCCUGUGAGCCAUGGCCGUGGAGCCUGUGCUCUGCCACGGGAGAGGCCACAGCAGUGAGAGGCCCGCGUAUUGCAAAAAAAAAAAAAAAAAGAAUACAAAGGUUCUUACCUAUUACACUAUGAAAUGGGUAAGAACAGGGAUCUGGGGCCUCAAAGGAAUACACGAC